rnacentral:lncRNA from 1 species
CUGCCGCACGAGUGGCCUGACGGGUGCGGGGGAAAAUGUUCGAGCGCGAGCCCCCGCGGGGCCACUGGGGAGACGGAGGGCAGAAACGGGGGCCGUUGGAGCCAGCCUAAGCUUGGGUGUAAGCUCUGUCACUCAGAGCUCGGGACUAGGCGCUUUUGGGUGCAAAACGAGUGGCCCACACAACUCCCUGGCUAGAAGAGGCCCGAGUCUGGGAGGGGAGAGAUUUGGAGAAACCGAAUCUCAACUCCAUGAAGUCAGUGACGUGUCUCUUCUCUGCUGUACUCCGGGUGCCUGAAAUGUGCCUGGCAGGAAACUUUCAUUUUGGCCACAUAUGUACCUGUGUGCACGCAGGCAUGUGUGCUUCUGUGAGCAUGCCCUGGAUCUCAAUGCCAAGGAUUUAUGGGAACCAGGGAAGGUCUUCCCACUUGGCUGUAUUAACUACAGGAGGAUCGACCUUCAUGUGAGCACAGCCUGUCCCACCAAACUGGGGCCACAGGUGCCUACUCCAGGAAGCUAAAGAUGGUGGUUUGAGAGCACAGACCCUGGGCUCCGUCAUGGAUCAAAGCUCUGAUUCUCAUCAGCUGCAUAACCCCUUGGAACCUUCUGUGGCCUCUCUAAGCCUCGUGUCUUCAUCUGGAAAGGAGUCAGCUGCAAUGAUAUCUGUCUUUGGGACUGCUG